UACGUAGGGUGCAAGCGUUGUCCGGAAUUAUUGGGCGUAAAGAGCUCGUAGGCGGUCUGUCGCGUCUGGUGUGAAAACUCAGGGCUUAACCCUGAGCUUGCAUCGGGUACGGGCAGACUAGAGUGCGGUAGGGGAGACUGGAAUUCCUGGUGUAGCAGUGAAAUGCGCAGAUAUCAGGAGGAACACCGGUGGCGAAGGCGGGUCUCUGGGCCGUAACUGACGCUGGAGGAGCGAAAGCAUGGGGAGCGAACAGG
rnacentral:rRNA from 1 species